rnacentral:rRNA from 1 species
CUUGCAUCUGGGGAUUAGUGGCGAACGGGUGAGUAACACGUGAGCAACCUGCCCCUGACUCUGGGAUAAGCGCUGGAAACGGCGUCUAAUACUGGAUAUGUCCCGUCACCGCAUGGUGUGCGGGUGGAAAGAUUUUUCGGUUGGGGAUGGGCUCGCGGCCUAUCAGCUUGUUGGUGAGGUAAUGGCUCACCAAGGCGUCGACGGGUAGCCGGCCUGAGAGGGUGACCGGCCACACUGGGACUGAGACACGGCCCAGACUCCUACGGGAGGCAGCAGUGGGGAAUAUUGCACAAUGGGCGGAAGCCUGAUGCAGCAACGCCGCGUGAGGGAUGACGGCCUUCGGGUUGUAAACCUCUUUUAGCAGGGAAGAAGCGAGAGUGACGGUACCUGCAGAAAAAGCACCGGCUAACUACGUGCCAGCAGCCGCGGUAAUACGUAGGGUGCAAGCGUUAUCCGGAAUUAUUGGGCGUAAAGAGCUCGUAGGCGGUCUGUCGCGUCUGCUGUGAAAUUCCGAGGCUCAACCUCGGGCUUGCAGUGGGUACGGGCAGACUAGAGUGCGGUAGGGGAGAUUGGAAUUCCUGGUGUAGCGGUGGAAUGCGCAGAUAUCAGGAGGAACACCGAUGGCGAAGGCAGAUCUCUGGGCCGUAACUGACGCUGAGGAGCGAAAGGGUGGGGAGCAAACAGGCUUAGAUACCCUGGUAGUCCACCCCGUAAACGUUGGGAACUAGUUGUGGGGUCCUUUCCACGGAUUCCGUGACGCAGCUAAC